rnacentral:rRNA from 1 species
UACGGGGGGGAGCAAGCGUUGUUCGGAUUUACUGGGCGUAAAGGGCGCGUAGGCGGUCGUGACAAGUCACUUGUGAAAUCUCCGGGCUUAACUCGGAACGGUCAAGUGAUACUGUCGGACUAGAGUACAGAAGGGGCAACUGGAAUUCUCGGUGUAGCGGUGAAAUGCGUAGAUAUACGGAGGAACACCAGCGGCGAAGGCGGGUGAGCUGGGCCAACACUGACGCUGAUGCGCGAAAGCUAGGGUAGCAAACGGG